CCUACGGGGGGCUGCAGUGGGGAAUAUUGGACAAUGGGGGCAACCCUGAUCCAGCCAUGCCGCGUGUGUGAAGAAGGCCCUCGGGUUGUAAAGCACUUUCAGUGAGGAAGAACGCCUGGUGGUUAAUACCCAUCAGGAAAGACAUCACUCACAGAAGAAGCACCGGCUAACUCCGUGCCAGCAGCCGCGGUAAUACGGAGGGUGCGAGCGUUAAUCGGAAUCACUGGGCGUAAAGCGCGCGUAGGUGGCUUGAUAAGCCGGUUGUGAAAGCCCCGGGCUCAACCUGGGAACGGCAUCCGGAACUGUCAAGCUAGAGUGCAGGAGAGGAAGGUAGAAUUCCCGGUGUAGCGGUGAAAUGCGUAGAGAUCGGGAGGAAUACCAGUGGCGAAGGCGGCCUUCUGGACUGACACUGACACUGAGGUGCGAAAGCGUGGGUAGCAAACAGGAUUAGAUACCCCAGUAGUC
rnacentral:rRNA from 1 species